rnacentral:rRNA from 1 species
GACGAACGCUGGCGGCGUGCCUAAUACAUGCAAGUCGAGCGAAGCGGCGGCUGGGUGAGUAACGCCUGGGUACCCUGCCCUUAAGUCUGGGAUACCAUUUGGCAACAGAUGCUAAUACCGGAUAUUAACGGUUGGACCCGCGAUGCAUUAACUCGUUGGUAAGUUAACGGCUUACCAAGACAAUGAUGCAUGACCGAGUUGAGAGACAGAUCGGCAACAUUGGGACUGAGCCACGGCCCAAACUCCUACGGUAGGCAGCAGGAGGGCAUCCUACACAAUGGAGGCAAGACCGAUGGAGCAACGCCGCGUGAGUGAAUAAGGUGUUGGGAUCGUAAAGCUCUGUAGUUGGUGAAGCGGUAAUCAACCAGAAAGUCACGGCUAACUACGUGCCAGCAGCCGCGGUAAUUC